GGGCCCAUGGUAUAGUGGUAGAAUGUCGCAUUCGCAUUGCGGAGACGGGAGUUCGAUUCUCCCUGGGUCCA
rnacentral:tRNA from 5 species